UACGGAGGGUGCAAACGUUGCUCGGAAUCACUGGGCGUAAAGCGCACGUAGGUGGCUGGACAAGUUGGGUGUGAAAGCCCAGGGCUCAACCCUGGAAGUGCACCCAAAACUGUCUGGCUUGAGUCCCGGAGGGGCCCAGAGAAUUCUCGGUGUAGAGGUGAAAUUCGUAGAUAUCGGGAGGAAUACCAGUGGCGAAGGCGCUGGGCUGGACGGGAACUGACGCUGAGGUGCGAAAGCGUGGGGAGCAAACAGG
rnacentral:rRNA from 1 species